rnacentral:rRNA from 1 species
UGUAGUCUCGCACAGAUGCAUAUCAAUAAGCGGAGGAAAAGAAACUAACAAGGAUUCCCUUAGUAACGGCGAGUGAAGCGGGAAGAGCUCAAAUUUGAAAUCUUGCAAGGUUUACCUUUACGAAUUGUAGUUUAAAGAAGUGUUUUCUGUUAAGAUUUGGUAAUAAGUUCUUUGGAAUAGGACAUCACAGAGGGUGAGAAUCCCUGUCUAUGAUUGCGAUUUGUAGCUUUGUGAUACACUUUCAAAGAGUCGGGUUGUUUGGGAAUGCAGCCCAAAACGGGAGGUAAAUUUCUUCUAAGGCUAAAUAUUGGCGAGAGACCGACAGCGAACAAGUACCGUGAGGGAAAGAUGAAAAGAACUUUGAAAAGAGAGUUAAAUAGUACGUGAAAUUGUCAAAAGGGAAGCGUUUAACACCAGUGUUGUUUUCUGAAAAUCAACCUCUGUUAGCUUUAUGCAUGUUUGUUUAGACCUAAUCAGCUAUCUUGCAUGUUCUAUUGUUUGCAGUGGUGCACUUUUCAGUUUACAGGUCAACAUCAGUUUUUUUUACCGUAAAAAAGUUAAAGAAAGGUAGCUCAUGGCUCCGGUCGUGAGUGUUAUAGUCUUUUUCCUAUGCGAUAGGAGAGACUGAGGUCUGCAGUGUAGGCUAUUUGGCUAGAUACUCAGGUGCUAUGUGAUACCAUUUCAUAAACAACUUGUUGAUUAUGUUUUGUCUAUUGCAUACUCGCUUGUACUAUCAUACCUACGCUUAGGAUGUUGAAGAUGUAGCACAUCAUACACGCAUGACACACUGCAUAUCAAUAAGCGGAGGAAAAGGAGUAUACCUACGCUUAGGAUGUUGAAGAUGUAGCACAUCAU